rnacentral:rRNA from 1 species
AGUGAAUAGAUACCCAGGUAGUCCUAGCCGUAAACGAUACUCGCUAGGUGUCGGCCACGGUGCGACCGUUGUCGGUGCCGUAGGGAAAGCCGUGAAGCGAGCCACCUGGGAAGUACGGCCGCAAGGCUGAAACUUAAAGGAAUUGGCGGGGGAGCACCACAACGGGUGGAGCUUGCGGUUUAAAUUGGAUUCAACGCCGGAAAUCUUACCGGGACCGACAGCGAUAUGAAGGCCAGGCUGAAGACUUUGCCGGAUUAGCUGAGAGGUGGUGCAUGGCCGUCGUCAGUUCGUACUGUGAAGCAUCCUGUUAAGUCAGGCAACGAGCGAGACCCACGCCCACAGUUGCCGGCGUACUCUCCGGAGUGACGGGUACACUGUGGGGACCGCCGCUGCUAAAGCGGAGGAAGGAAUGGGCAACGGUAGGUCAGUAUGCCCCGAAUAUCCCGGGGCUACACGCGAGCUACAAUGGUUGGAACAAUGGGUAUCUACCCCGAAAGGGGUAUGGAAAUCUCCUAAAUCCAAUCUUAGUUCGGAUUGAGGGCUGCAACUG